AGCCAGAGACAUAGUCACUGACUGCCUUCCAUAUCUGCCUAUGACAUGACAGGGAAACAACAGUCCAGAACUGCCUCUAAAUCUUCCCCAUGGCCUUUCCAUGUGGCUAACUUCUUCGUGCACAGUUGCUCCAUUGGAAAUUCAGAGGAGUGCUAGUUCUGCCUUAAGCUGCUGGCCCAGCUUCUCAAGAUGACAGACUACAAGCUAAAGAUGAAAUAAACUCUCUUC